UUCUAGUUCUGUUAUUGUGACUCCAGACCGUCACCUGGCACUGGGUCUUACUUCUGGCAUUCCUAUCAGAGCCUGAGCCACAGACAGUACCUUAGACUCUAAGCUUAGGCACCUUGUGCCUUGUUUUUGUGGCUAAGGAUUCUCAGAGUUGUGGGAUGCUGACAAAGUUUAUCCCAAAAGUUCUGAUUCUACUUCCUCCACAAACUUCGGCAUGGCAGUAUCUCCCACCACUUGUUUUGGUCCAAGGGCAGAAAUGAGCAUCCUGGAAACCAAUCAGUACUUGCACUCUGAACUGGAAAAGUGCAAAGAGAACCGAGACCUCACAGAGAAAUUCCUGACAUCCAAAGCUACUGCCUACUCCCUGGCCAAUCACCUGCAGAAAUACAAGUGUGAAGAGUGCAAAGACCUUAUAGAAUCUGUGCUGGAGGAGGAGCUGCAGUUUCAGGAGAGGGAGCUGGCCGAAUUGCCGAGGACAGCUGCAAGGCUCCGGAUACAUGAUCCCUUAAUUCAGGCUCAGGCUGAGGAACUGACCCACUUAUGACAGAAGAUACAGGAAGGGAGAGGUGUCUGCUACCUUUUCACCCAGCACGUGAAGAAUACAGUCAAGUCUUUUGGGGCCUUCUCAGGAACACUGGCAUUGCCUACUACCAGAGACAGAGAUUCUGUGAGCAAAUGGUAAAAGGAAGCCAGCUGACAGAGAUCCUUGUCAGAAAACUUGCCACAGGCUCCGGAGGGACGUCCAGGAGGAAGAAAUGGAUGAAAUCCUGGAGGGAAUUCAAACAGUAUUUGACCCAUUCCAGCCGCCAUGACUCCUACCAGCUUCCCAGCAGCAAUGCCUUCGUCUUUGAUGCACAGGAAGGCCCCUCUGCUCUGGAUAUAGCCAGAUGCACCUCUAACCUCUACAGGCAUAUCAUAGAUUCCAUUGUCCAGCUGUAUAAUGAAAACAGAGUUCUCAGAGAAUACCGGAGACUCCCCCAACUUGCCUGAAUCAAGUUUCCAGAGGUAACAACUAAUGUUGGAACUAUGAAAAGCUCUUCUCUACUUUUAACAAAGCUUAGUCACAAACAUUUCCCCAGUUGAUGAGAACAACUAAAACAACAGAACAAUUGAAAGUCCAAAUUUGAAAGCUCCAUCUCCGAGAAGCAAAUUUUACAGCCACUCCAGAUUUGUAUUCCAAAUGGAUAGUUUGAUUGUAGAAAUCACAUCCGUUCAGCCUGCAAAUGUGAUAACUGCCCAAGAGACAGUGAUGCCUAGAUCCAUAGAUAAUCCCCUUUCCCCCAACCUAUAUAUAACUGGAGUCAACAGCAGCUGGAGGAAAAUGGCAAGGACUUGGAAUCAAGAUUAAGUUAGAAUAACACUGCUGUAGACUGUUUAUCAGCUCUUCAGCAUAUGUCUGUUUUCCUUGAACGAUGAGCGUUUAGAAACCUGACAAUAAAGUUUAUUUUACACACA